ensembl:lncRNA
AUUGACAUUGGUUCUGUUCAGGCUGAUGUGUGUCCAGAUGGACAUUGGUUCUGUUCAGGCUGAGUGCUGAUGUGUGUCCAGACAGACAUUGGUUCUGUUCAGGCUGAUUGCUGAUGUGUGUCCAGAUGGACAUUAUUUACAUGUCAGUUUAUUUCAAUGAUGAUUCCCAUCAAGAGAUACGAUCUCUUGAUUUGACCGAGUGUCUCUACAAGGGGUGGUGUGUCUCUACAAGGGGUGGUGUGUAUGAAGACAUGUAACGUAUACGAAAUAGGUUUUAAGUGAAGAAAGUGAUUUACAAGGAAUGAAUUAUGAUCUGCAUCCUAAAUGGCACCAUAUUCCCUACGUAGUGCACUUCUUUUGAACAGGACCCAUAGGGCUCUGGUCAAAAGUAGUGCACUAUAUAGGGAAUAGGUAUUGGUACGCAGCCAUGAUGAAAGGUAGGAAUCUAAACUGUUGUUUUGCUCAUAUGAUGUACGAAGGAAGAAACUAGAAGUUGAGUGACACAGUGUCCAUUUUUAUUUUCCUUAUAAACACCUAGAACUGAGGAAACAGACCAGCUCACUAAAAGUUGUUCUUCUCUUCAACAUAAAUAUGCAGACUUCCUUUGAAAACGGAAUCACAACGCAAACAAGUGUGCGUCGGAAAUGUCACCCUAUUCCCUACGUAGUGCACUACUUUUGACCAGGGCUCUGGUGCACUAGGGAUCAGGAUGGCAUUUCAGACAGGUUCAGAGUCAUUUUGUAAAUACAUUUUUUUCAGACUCAAGUGACUGCAAAUUGUGUCUUUUCUCUCGCAACCACAAAACAUGAGGGACAAUCUUCACAACAUCAACAAAGGAAAAGAUGAGGCAACACCAUGUUUUCUUAAAGCAUUUCCAAUAAUAUGAAACCGAAACAGUUAUUUUGUGUUAAUAAUACAGUUUUAUCCAGCAAAUAAAAAGCACUUUGGUCAUCUUCACACAGACUGAGCCACGGCAAAAAGUACCAAAGCAAUAACAACUACAAUGGUUUGUGUGACAUUGAAACACGUAACAUUGUUUCCGUACACUACUUUAAAGUGCACAUGUUCAGGCAUUCCGAACUGUAGCGACGAACAUCGACUGUGUGAACAGCGACUAAGACCUGGGACCUCUUCGUUCCAACUAUAAUACAAACACGUUGUGUGUUGCGCUACGAGUUAUUGCUUGAAAUACAGUCUAACCAUUGAAUUAACUCAAAUGCGCUGUGAGAAAACCACGUAACGUAAAACAGUAAACGAGGGAAGGAGGGCGAGAAAAAGCAACAUGUUGACGAGGUUGUGAUGACGGCUGCAACGUAAAACAGUAAACGAGGGAAGGAGGGCGAGAAAAAGCAACAUGUUGACGAGGUUGUGAUGACGGCUGCAACGUAAAACAGUAAACGAGGGAAGGAGGGCGAGAAAAAGCAACAUGUUGACGAGGUUGUGAUGACGGCUGCAACGUAAAACAGUAAACGAGGGAAGGAGGGCGAGAAAAAGCAACAUGUUGACGAGGUUGUGAUGACGGCUCACAGGCCUGAAUAGCAGUAUUUCAACCAGACUGCACACGUCACUGUGUCUGGUUUACAAAAUAGGGUUGGGAGUACAGAAGCCAAUACUGAAUGGUAUCACCAUAAAAGGUCGCGACCCCACUCCCUCAGGGUCUCAGUAUGUAAGAAACACAUUUCCAUUACAGACUUGUACAAGUGUGUACCAGGACAAACAUAAACACCUCCCCCCAAAUGAUCAUUAUACGAGUAACAUAGUUAACAAUGUUCAGCCACACACCGUUUUGCUAGCGGGCCUGGAUGUCUCAAUUUCACAUAUAGAAUACUAACCCAGAUAUGUUGGCUAGGUUUACAUAUUCCCAGCCAGUACAGUACAUCCCUUCUAGCCAAUACAGUACUGUACCUCUCAUCUAGCCAGUACUGUACCUCUCAUCUAGCCAGUACAGUACCUCUCAUCUAGCCAGUACAGUACCUCUCAUCUAGCCAGUACAGUACCUCCCAUCUAGCCAGUACAGUACCUCCCAUCUAGCCAAUACAGUACAGUACCUCCCAUCUAGCCAGUACAGUACUGUACCUCCCAUCUAGCCAGUACAGUACCUCCCAUCUAGCCAGUACAGUACCUCCCAUCUAGCCAAUACAGUACA